GGGGCUGUGGCUCAGUGGUAGAGCAUCUACUUUGCAUGUAGAAUGUCACAGUUCAGUCCCCAGCAUCU
rnacentral:tRNA from 1 species